rnacentral:rRNA from 1 species
GACGAACGCUGGCGGCGUGCUUAACACAUGCAAGUCGAACGGAAAGGCCCUGCUUGCAGGGUACUCGAGUGGCGAACGGGUGAGUAACACGUGGGUGAUCUGCCCUGCACUUCGGGAUAAGCCUGGGAAACUGGGUCUAAUACCGGAUAGGAGCCAUUUUUAGUGUGAUGGUUGGAAAGUUUUUUCGGUGUAGGAUGAGCUCGCGGCCUAUCAGCUUGUUGGUGGGGUAAUGGCCUACCAAGGCGGCGACGGGUAGCCGGCCUGAGAGGGUGGACGGCCACAUUGGGACUGAGAUACGGCCCAGACUCCUACGGGAGGCAGCAGUGGGGAAUAUUGCACAAGGGGCGCAAGCCUGAUGCAGCGACGCCGCGGGGGGGAUGACGGCCUUCGGGUUGUAAACUCCGUUCGCUAGGGACGAAGCUUUUUGUGACGGUACCUAGAUAAGAAGCACCGGCUAACUACGUG